UACGUAGGGGGCGAGCGUUGUCCGGAUUUAUUGGGUUUAAAGGGUGCGUAGGCGACUGUUUAAGUCAGUGGUGAAAGUCUACGGCUUAACCGUAGGAUUGCCAUUGAUACUGGGGAGCUUGAGUAUAGUUAAGGUAGGCGGAAUUGACAGUGUAGCGGUGAAAUGCUUAGAUAUUGUCAAGAACUCCGAUUGCGUAGGCAGCUUACUAAGCUAUAACUGACGCUGAGGCACGAAAGCGUGGGGAUCAAACAGG
rnacentral:misc_RNA from 1 species